UACGUAGGUGGCAAGCGUUACUCGGAAUCACUAGGCGUAAAGCGCAGGUAGGCGGUUCAGUAAGUCUUUUGUGAAAGCUCCCGGCUUAACUGGGAGAGGUCAAGGGAAACUGCUGGGCUAGAGUGUGGCAGAGGAAGCUAGAAUUCCCGGUGUAGCGGUGAAAUGCGUAGAUAUCGGGAGGAAUACCUAUGGCGAAAGCAGGCUUCUGGGCCAUCACUGACGCUGAGCUGCGAAAGCUAGGGGAGCAAACAGGAUUAGAAACCCCAGUAGUCC
rnacentral:rRNA from 1 species